rnacentral:rRNA from 1 species
UACGUAGGGAGCAAGCGUUGUCCGGAUUCACUGGGUGUAAAGGGUGCGCAGGCGGAUUUGUUAGUCAGAGGUGAAAUCUCACGGCUUAACCGUGAAACUGCCUUUGAUACUGCAGAUCUUGAGUUUGGGAGAGGUUGAUGGAAUUCAGGUGUAGAGGUGAAAUUCGUAGAUAUUAGGAAGAACACCAGUGGCGAAGGCGGCUCACUGGCCCGGUACUGACGCUGAGGAGCGAAGGCCAGGGGAGCAAACGGG